AGAGAGCGGUUUGAUAUGUCACUGAAACCAGCAUCCAGGUGGUAUUGCUCCAUAUGCCUGAGACCCUAACAAAAGCCUAAUUACAACUCAUAUGCCUGGAGCCAGGACAUGUGCAGGAUGCCAUGAUGGUCCAAGUUAUAUUGGGAUUCAGCCAAUAGAAGAUAUUUUGCCUGUCAUCCCUAAGCUUAGGACAAUAGGGUCCUGCCCACAAGAAAGAUUGUGACAUCUCACUGGACAAGCACCCACCCAGCCAGCUUGGUGACCUACUAUUUGAGUCUAUACCCAGGCCCAGACCACAGAUGAAAUUGUGCAAUAUGUGGAACAAACACCUAAACAAUAUAUAACACCUUCCUUGGCUCUGUCUACAAAGGGCACUUUUAUAUAUCACUGGGACCAUCAACCAGGUGAUGUUAAUUAUCUUCCUGAAACCUGUCUACAAAGAGAGUUGUGUCGUAUACCUAGGCCCGUCAUGUAAGUGAUGUCAGUCCCUUCUACUGCCUUGGCCCUGCACUUACAGUGCAUUGUGACACAUAACAAGGUACUGCACACAGACGAUGUGAUUCUCCUUUUUGGGUUCUGCCAAAAGGAAGCAUUGUAAUAAAUCGCUUGGCUCA
ensembl:lncRNA LINC00293 long intergenic non-protein coding RNA 293